rnacentral:rRNA from 1 species
UACGUAGGGUGCAAGCGUUAUCCGGAAUUAUUGGGCGUAAAGAGCUCGUAGGCGGUUUGUCGCGUCUGCUGUGAAAACUGGAGGCUCAACCUCCAGCCUGCAGUGGGUGCGGGCAGACUAGAGUGCGGUAGGGGAGAUUGGAAUUCCUGGUGUAGCGGUGGAAUGCGCAGAUAUCAGGAAGAACACCUAUGGCGAAGGCAGCUCUCUGGGACGGUACUGACGCUGAGACGCGAAAGCGUGGGGAGCGAACAGG